CCGAGUUGACAAACUCCCAACCCCUGUGAACGAUACCUACAUUGUUGCCUCGGCGGAGCAGCCCUCUCCGGUACGGGACGGCCCGCCAGAGGACCCUAAACUCUUUGCUAUAUGUAUCUUCUGAUUACCUAUAUAAUAAGUCA
rnacentral:misc_RNA from 1 species